rnacentral:lncRNA from 1 species
GCUGGAGGUAGGACACAGACCUGCACUGGGGGUCUGCUGGGGGUCUGCCCUGCACCUCUGGGGGGCAGCUCCCUGCACCCUCCAGUAGCCGACCGUAGAGCUCGGCAGCAAUGCAGGCAGGAGCCGGGCGAGCCCCCAGCAGCUGCCUUCUCCCCCCAGAGGUGCUUGCAGCCAGUGUCCAUGGGUGCCCUGGGCCACACACAGCCCAGGCACAAAGACCCGGGGAAAGCCGUGCUGCCGCCCGGCGGGGCGGCUGUGCCCCGUGCUGGCUGCGCUGCCGCUGGCACAGGAGCUGGGGCUGGAGCCCGUGCUGGGCUGAGCCGCAGGGCAGAGGCUGUUGCCCCGCGGGACCAGGCACCCGGCGCUGCUGGGAUGUGCUGGGUGGCCGUGCUGGCCGGCACCGCACAGGCGGCUCAGGGGAUUCACCUCGGGGAAGGCAGCUCCCCCGUCCCCUCUGCACUUGUUCUAUUCCCUUCUGCUGCGGCUGCAAGGGCCUGGCUGUCGCGCCCUGAAGUCCAGGCAAGCACCGGCGUGGUAUGCUGUGAUGAGUGUGCUGAAUUAUUUGGCUAUUUAUACGUUCGAUGAUUUCUGGGUUGAAAGCCUGUUGUGACAGCCUGGAUGUUGGUGGGUGGUGUUAUUGCUGGACUCAUUCCUGCCUGAAAAGCAUGUCCUGCCACUGCAGGGACCAGAAAAGGAGGGCUGAACAACCUGCGUCCUUCUGGUGUCCCACGGUGUCUGGAAUAAAGGCUGUAGAAUUUCUAGGAGGAUGGUUUCUUCAAAAAAACAACCUCAACAGGGAAAGUCUCUUCUAUGUAACUUGUCCUGAUCCUGUUUCUGCCACCUUGUCCCAAGCCACGCGCUGGGCAGUCACUGGGAGCACGUGCUGCUGCGACUGUGUCAGCACCUGCUGGACCGUCCCCUCCUGCUGCCCAGCUCUGACUGUGCCCCUUCCUGCCAGGUCCCGGCUGAAGCUGCUGGUGGAUGAAGAUGGCAGGUCACCGGUGGCUCGGCCCCCCUGUUCAAGGCCUACUGCUCUGCAUCUUGGCUCUGCACCUCUGCGCCCAGGACCCUUUUGCCACAGCAGAGAACACCACAAUCGCCAACGCCUCGGUGGCCGCCAACGCCUCGGUGGCCGCCAACGCCUCGGUGGCCGCCAACGCCUCGGUGAACAGUACAGAUGAAACACUGCUCACUUGCCAGAGCUUUCAGUGCUCUGGGGAGAGGUGUUACCAGGAUGGAGCCCACGCCAACAAAACUGUGACCUGCCAUAAUGAGACUUACUGUGAGCUUUAUCGUUCCUCCAGCACAAACUACACAGCCAGGUGCAGCAGCUCGUGCAGCACAGAGAUGUGCAGGACCAACAACAGUGUGAGCACACAGCAGUGCGCCCUGGAUUGCUGUGCCUCCUCCCUCUGCCUGCAGCUCAACGCCAGCUCCUACGGUGACCUGCCAGCUGCCACUGUGCUGCCCGCCACCACCACGGCCACCACACCCCGAGCUCCCCCCAGAAAUGGGAAAGUGUGUGCAGCGUUCUCCUGUCAUGGGGACGGAUGUUUCAAAGGCAAGAAGACUGUUGCUAGAUGUGUUGUCGGGCACAACUUCUGCGAGAUGAAGAAGAUGGGCUUGAAUUACAUGGCGGGAUGCAGCAAAGCUUGCAAGGCUGCCAAACCAGUCUGUGCUGGUGGGGUGAAGGCUGCCUGUUACCAGGAGUGCUGCCCAGCUACCCUGAAAGCUAGCUGCCUGCGACUGGAUGGCAAAGUGCACGUCAGUAGCGCUGGGCAGGUGACGCUGGCCCCGCUGCUGAAGCUCAUGGCCUGUGGUGUGGUCCUUCUCCUGAAUUACAGGGUCUCUGCUUCCCUCCGGGGGUAGGCAGCAGUCCACAUGCUCUGCAGCCUGCCCUCUGCAGCGCUCCUUAGGAUCCCUGCUGCUCUCUGACUUCAGCCAAGGCCGCUAUCGAACACCCUCUGCUACGUCCCUGUCCCAGGAACAAGGUGGCCCAGUUGCCCACGGCUGCUUCUCCCCCCGAGCAGGUGCCUCCCACCCCCAGGGUGACCCCAGGCCUCUGCGUGAACCGCGAGGGCGGUGGGUGCAGGUUGCUGGUGGGCUCCCGUUUCUGUUCACCUUGUCCUGCAGCGCAGCAGCCCUGCGUGCUCUGCUUCCAGAAGAGGCUGCAGGUGCCUGCUCAGGUGCUCUGCUGGGGGGAAAUCCUCCUCCCAUUUUUGAGCUGCUCUGUGGGCACAGGUGGACAUGGGGCUUCCUCUUGGUGUGGUGAGCCGAUGCUCUGCUUCAUACCUCUGGCUGGUCACGGAGAUGAUGCUGGUCCCCUGCCCAAGCUCCUGUGGAGCAGGGAGAUCCGAGCCGCUGCCCUGUGGGAUGCCCUCCUCCAUGGGAUGCUGUCCCCUUCCCACUGUUAGAGCACCCUUUCCACCUGCUUCCCAGUCCCAGUUCAAGUCUCUUCUGGGUUACAGUUGGAGAGGAUGAAUUCCUGGGGCCUCGUUACUGCCUCGCUCAGGUUUGGUGAGCAGCCCUUUGUACGUAAGCCAAUGUCGUGUGCGAGGGACGCUGAAGCAUGGGGUGAAAGCCAGGUCCCCUCUCGUGCCCCUGUCCUGGGUGGCUGUGCAGGCAGGAAAGCCCUUUCAUUAGCACGCUUAAACAGCAGUAGUUUUUCCCCUUGUCUUUCCACCAGCAGCUGAUGCAGCCGCCCUCAGGGCUGGAGCCCUCCUGGCCCAACCAGCAGGGUACAGGUUACUGACGGGCUGGUUGAGCUGCUUGGAGCUUGUCCAGAAACCCAUGCCAGAAAAACAGCUUUCCCCUGGGGGCUGCUCAUGUAGCAUGGCAGACGUGGCUGCUUCUCUAGCACAACUAGCAGAGGUCACCACUGCUGCUCCUCCAGCCGGCCUGCCGCGUCUGCUCGGGGGCACUCCGCUACGCUUGGCUCUGUAGCCGCCCCGUACAGGACCCUGCCGCUGAUCCCAAAUCCCACCUCCCAUCCCUAAGCUCCACUUUAAAUCCCUCACCUUCCCGAGGCUGGUGAGUCCUGGCUCCCGUUCGGUGUCUUGCAUUUCACUGAUUUUUUAAACACUGGUAAUCAAGAGUCCCCCAGUGUAUCCAGAGGAAAAGCACUUAAUCUACACGCUAAGGAAGCUACGAAGGGGAAUUCUUCCCUGCACCGCCAAAAAUCUGUAGGCCUGGGAGACUUGCAAGCUAAUUACGGUUUUGUCUCUGUGCUGCUGGGACUGCAGAUGCUGGAAUGAGUGACCUCAGGAGUAGGAACAAGAGGGUGUUAAGCCUGCUUACAAACCAGAAAAUUCUGCCUUGACUGAAGGCACAGGGUCUGCUCUAGUUAAUAAUCUGCUUGCAGCACAGCCUUUCUGGACACCCUCUCGCUCAUUAGUUUAAAACUGCUCUGGUGUUGAAAUACCUUCUGUAUGACUAGGUAAGAUUAGUAACCUAACGUUUCAUCUCCAAGACUUAGGCAGGAAAAUGAGAUUAAUUUAAAAGUGUCUUACCUUUCAGAUGAUUCUAUUACACAUCUAUGAUUGAUUCUCUACUGCUAAAAGCCAAGCAGAGGCGUGAACCAUAACCAGAAGCACCCCCCGCGCUCCCCCCAGCCUCUUGCUGCAUUACGUGGAGCUGGCGCGGCGCUUGUUGGGCAGAAUUCACCGGUGUCGAUGUGCUGUUACUGGUGCAAACACACGCGCUGCUGUCCUCUGCUGCUGUUGGCUCUUUAAAGAAAAGAUUGCAAAAGUAUAAACCCCCAUGUGUCGGUCCCUUGGGGUGUUCCGAGCGUGGCUGGGCAUGGUGUGACUGGUGGGGAAGGAGGGAGGGCCGUGGGGGUCCAGGGGGAGCCUCGUGCUGUCCCCUGCAGAAAGGCUUUGCCCGCCAGCCCCUGGGGGUGCCCCGGUGGGGAAGCUGUGGGGCUGGGGGAGCUGGACCUCACAAACACUAGCCAGCCCCUUCCCCGCUGCAGCGCGGCCGCAGCCAGCCCGCUGGAGCCGCAGGACAGGCCUUGGGCCGCGUUUGUAAUUCCUUCCAGGCCACAGUGUCAGCGCAUCUGCAGCAAGUGAAAACAGGAUGAAACACGGGGGUUUUCUGUCUCAAAAAUACCCGACAGUGCCAUGUUUCUUGCAAGAGUAGAGGUUUAGCAUUUACAGCAGCUCUUUCAGCCCCUUCUCCUCGUGCCCCCCCCCGCAGCCCCCAGCCACCCGUGGGUGCCGGGGGGGUGGCAGGGCAGAGGCACAGGGCGUUUGUCGUGAUCUCCAGCUCUUGGCUGUUGCUGCUGCUCGGUGGGAAGCGCUGCCCUGGGCCGGGCUCUCUGCAGUGCAACAGGCUCUGGUGAAGUUUUCCAGCACCUGCUUAGGCGCUUUGCGUUAAUUAAUUUGCAUAAUAGCCUGGCAGCUCGGAAGGUGGCUUGU